UAAGUGAAUAGUGAAACCUGGAGGCUCAACCUCUCAGACUAUUAUUCAAACUGGCAAACUCGAGAAUGGUAGAGGUAACUGGAAUUUCUUGUGUAGGAGUGAAAUCCGUAGAUAUAAGAAGGAACACCAAUGGCGUAGGCAGGUUACUGGACCAUUUCUGACACUGAGGCACGAAAGCGUGGGGAGCGAACCGGAUUAGAUACCCGGGUAGUCCACGCCGUAAACGAUGGAUACUA
rnacentral:rRNA from 1 species